UCCGGCUUAACGCCGGCAGUCUCCCUAGAGUGCCCAACUGAAUGGUGGCAACUAAGGACAAGGGUUGCGCUCGUUGCGGGACUUAACCCAACAUCUCACGACACGAGCUGACGACAGCCAUGCAGCACCUGUGUGUCGGCUCCCUUUCGGGCACGCCUCCGUCUCGAGAGGCUUCCGACCAUGUCAAGGGUAGGUAAGGUUUUUCGCGUUGCAUCGAAUUAAUCCACAUCAUCCACCGUUUGUGCGGGUCCCCGUCAAUUCCUUUGAGUUUUAGCCUUGCGGCCGUACUCCCCAGGCGGGAUGCUUAAUGCGUUAGCUUCGGCACGGAAGGGGUCGAUGUCCCCCCACACCUAGCAUCCAACGUUUAUGGCGUGGACUAC
rnacentral:misc_RNA from 1 species